GACGAACGCUGGCGGCGUGCUUAACACAUGCAAGUCGAGCGGUAAGGCCCUUUCGGGGGUACACGAGCGGCGAACGGGUGAGUAACACGUGGGUGACCUGCCCUCAGCUCUGGGAUAAGCCUGGGAAACCGGGUCUAAUACUGGAUAUGACUCCAUGACGCAUGUUGUGGGGUGGAAAGCCUUGUGCGGCUGAGGAUGGGCCCGCGGCCUAUCAGCUUGUUGGUGGGGUGAUGGCCUACCAAGGCGACGACGGGUAGCCGGCCUGAGAGGGCGACCGGCCACACUGGGACUGAGACACGGCCCAGACUCCUACGGGAGGCAGCAGUGGGGAAUCUUGCGCAAUGGGCGAAAGCCUGACGCAGCGACGCCGCGUGAGGGAUGACGGCCUCGGUUGUAA
rnacentral:rRNA from 1 species